UAGACCUCCACUCUGGGAUAAGCGCUGGAACGGCGUCUAAUACUGGAUACGACCGACCCUCGCAUGGGGUGUUGGUGGAAAGAUUUAUCGGUGGUGGAUGGACUCGCGGCCUAUCAGCUUGUUGGUGGGGUAAUGGCCUACCAAGGCGACGACGGGUAGCCGGCCUGAGAGGGCGACCGGCCACACUGGGACUGAGACACGGCCCAGACUCCUACGGGAGGCAGCAGUGGGGAAUAUUGCACAAUGGGCGAAAGCCUGAUGCAGCGACGCCGCGUGAGGGAUGACGGCCUUCGGGUUGUAAACCUCUUUCAGCAGGGAAGAAGCUUUUGUGACGGUACCUGCAGAAGAAGCACCGGCUAACUACGUGCCAGCAGCCGCGGUAAUACGUAGGGUGCGAGCGUUGUCCGGAAUUAUUGGGCGUAAAGAGCUUGUAGGCGGUUUGUCGCGUCUGCUGUGAAAAUUCAGGGCUUAACCCUGGACGUGCAGUGGGUACGGGCAGACUAGAGUAAUGGUAGGGGAGACUGGAAUUCCUGGUGUAGCGGUGGAAUGCGCAGAUAUCAGGAGGAACACCGAUGGCGAAGGCAGGUCUCUGGGCCAUUACUGACGCUGAGAAGCGAAAGCAUGGGGAGCGAACAGGAUUAGAUACCCUGGUAGUCCAUGCCGUAAACGUUGGGCGCUAGGCGUGGGUCUCAUUCCACGAGAUCCGUGUCGCAGCUAACGCAUUAAGCGCCCCGCCUGGGGAGUACGGCCGCAAGGCUAAAACUCAAAGGAAUUGACGGGGGCCCGCACAAGCGGCGGAGCAUGCUGAUUAAUUCGAUGCAACGCGAAGAACCUUACCAAGGCUUGACAUGCACUGGAUCGCCUCAGAGAUGGGGUUUCCCUUUGGGCUGGUGCACAGGUGGUGCAUGGUUGUCGUCAGCUCGUGUCGUGAGAUGUUGGGUUAAGUCCCGCAACGAGCGCAACCCUCGUUCUAUGUUGCCAGCACGUAAUGGUGGGGACUCAUAGGAGACUGCCGGGGUCAACUCGGAGGAAGGUGGGGAUGACGUCAAAUCAUCAUGCCCCUUAUGUCUUGGGCUUCAAGCAUGCUACAAUGGCCGGUACAGAGGGUUGCGAAA
rnacentral:rRNA from 1 species